rnacentral:rRNA from 1 species
AUACGGAGGGUGCAAGCGUUACUCGGAAUCACUGGGCGUAAAGGGUUCGUAGGUGGAAUUAUAAGUCUGGUGUGAAAGCCCACAGCUCAACUGUGGAACUGCACUGGAUACUGUUUUUCUUGAGUUAUAGAGGGGUUUGUGGAAUUUCUGGUGUAGAGGUGAAAUUUGUAGAGAUCAGAAAGAACACCGGUGGCGAAGGCGACAAACUGGCUAUUAACUGACACUGAGGAACGAAAGCGUGGGGAGCGAACAGGAUUAGAAACCCUAGUAGUCC